AGGGGGGUGUCCCAUUAAUUAGGACGCAUGGUUGGAAGGAGGAGGAGCCCGGCGGAAUUAUAAUGCUCGGUGCUCUUAUCAUCUUUGGUCUAAUUUAGUCGUGUGGUGAGACACCAGAAUAGGUAUGUGGGGUAAAUGAGGGGAAGCAGAAAGAGAGAGAGAGAGAGACAGAGAGAGAGAGAGAGAGAGAUGGAGAGAGAGUUUGAGAGAUAGGGAAAUAGAGUGAGAGAGAGAGAGAAAGAGGGAGAGGAUCACAAUCUCUUAGUCAAUUUGUGAGUUUUUACGCGUGAAACUCCAGUCCAGCAGCACUUCAUAGGCUUUCAUUUAAGCGUAUUUGGACAAGUCGACUCGGCUUCCGUUAGAGGCCGCAGCUUAUAGACUCAGAUUUUUUUUUUUUUUCCACGACCCACACAGCGCGGAUGAUCCUUUGUUUUUUGUAAAGGUAAUGCAGAGCUGGACCAUAUAUCAGCUCUGAUGAUGCCUCCUCUGGGGCGGGAGAGAGGCGGCGGCAUGCAUCCCUCUCAGCGACGCCGAACCCGGGCCAUAACUCAGCCAGAAAGGGCUCCUUUUAUUUAUCAUCCCAGAAAUAUUUCAUUUCCUCUCAGAGCACCGGGCGUCCUGCAGCUGUGACGGGGAAAAUGCAGCCGGUGUUUAUUUGAUGCUUCUGGGGGAGAAAAUCUACAUCAGUGAUGACAGCUCUGGAGGAUCUGGUUUAUUAGAAACAAGCAUCACAUUUCCCUCACAUGUACCACUAAUUUCUCUCUCUCUCUCUGUCUCUCUCUCUCUCUCUCUCUCUCUUUUUUUUUUUAAAGUGAAGUCAAAUAAAAUAAAAAUGUCUAAAAUAAAUGAUGAUUGAUACUGUUAUUUUAUAUGUUAA